GGCUCGUUGGUGUAGUGGUAGCACUGCUUUGUGGUUGCCACGGGAGGUCCUGAAGGGGGGCAGGGCCAACUGUGGCAGCUCGAAGAGCACGCCCCAGUUCGAAUCUGGGACGAGUCG